rnacentral:rRNA from 1 species
UGAGGUGCGAAAGCGUGGGAGCAAACGGGAUUAGAUACCCCGGUAGUCACGCCGUAAACGAUGGCUACUAGCCGUUGGAGGACUUGAUCCUUUAGUGGCGCAGCUAACGCGAUAAGUAGACCGCCUGGGGAGUACGGUCGCAAGAUUAAAACUCAAACGAAUUGACGGGGGCCCGCACAAGCGGUGGAGCAUGUGGUUUAAUUCGAAGCAACGCGAAGAACCUUACCUACUCUUGACAUCCAGUGAACUUUUGAGAGAUCAAUUGGUGCCUUCGGGAACACUGAGACAGGUGCUGCAUGGCUGUCGUCAGCUCGUGUUGUGAAAUGUUGGGUUAAGUCCCGUAACGAGCGCAACCCUUGUCCUUAGUUACCAUCAUUAAGUUGGGGACUCUAAGGAGACUGCCGGUGACAAACCGGAGGAAGGCGGGGACGACGUCAAGUCAUCAUGGCCCUUACGAGUAGGGCUACACACGUGCUACAAUGGCAUGUACAAAGGGUUGCCAAGCCGCGAGGUGGAGCUAAUCCCAUAAAGCAUGUCGUAGUCCGGAUUGGAGUCUGCAACUCGACUCCAUGAAGUCGGAGUCGCUAGUAAUCGUGAAUCAGAAUGUCACGGUGAAUACGUUCCCGGGCCUUGUACACACCGCCCGUCACACCAUGGGAGUGGGUUGCUCCAGAAGUAGAUAGCUUAACCUUCGGGAGGGCGUUUACCACGGAGUGAUUCAUGACUGGGGUGAAGUCGUAACAAGGUAACC